GGCAAAGAAAAAGAAAAGUUCGUAUCUUUUUUGCUUUUGGCAACGAAGUUGGCACUUCCCAUUCUGACGGAUCGACUUGAAAAUUGAAAGAUACAUGACGAAGCUUUUCAUGAAAAUUCUUUUGGUCUGGUUCAACUACGACGCUUCCAAUCCCCGACACUAAGAUUGCAAGUUCAUUCAUGAGAUCAUGCAUUUUACAACUUCUUAUUAUACCAAACUCAUCUUUUUCUUCUUCUUGAAAAAACGAUCUCCACAACAACUCCCUGUAAUAUUCAUACGCAACAUCCUCCAAACCCUUGUUUUCAUCGGAUGACUUAAUGAACCCUUGCGCCACCCAAAGUCUAAUCAAUCUCUGCACAAAGAUCUUAUAAUCAGGUGGGAACAAGCUACAAUAAGCAAAACAAUGCUUCAAAUGUGAUGGGAGCACAUCAUAACUCAAUUUAAGUGUUGGUAAAAUAUCAUUUUCUUCUUGACUUAUUUUUGAAAGUUCCUUUUCUUUGAAAUUCAACCAAUCACUUUCGUCAUCUUUGGCAAACAACAUCCCACCUAUCGUCCUUAUAGCAAGUGGAACUCCCUGACAUUUUCUUGCAACCUCUUUCGCAACUGCCUUAAUUGUUGAAUUCUCUGUCUCCUUUCCAUCUUUAUAAGCCAUUUUCUUAAAUAAAGACCAACUUUGCUCUUCAUUCAAACCCUUUAAGGUGUAUGAUUUAGCUGUGUCUGAUAUCGUCGCAACGGUUUUACUACGAGUGGUUAUUAGUAUUCUACUACCUUCUCCACCACCCAUUAACAAGUUCUUCAAGCUAAGCCACUUCUCUCGAUCCUCAUUCCACACAUCAUCCAACACAAGUAGGUACUUCUUCCUAGCUACUUUUUUCCUAAGAUCUUUUUGCAACUGCUCAAUCUCGUCAUGAUUUUUGGAUUGAAGGAUUUUCUUAACAACUAUAUCCAACUCAAAUGCAUUAGAGACGCAUGUCCAUAUUUUCAACUCAAAAUGAUUUUGAAUCACCUUAUUGUUGAAUAUGAGUUGGGCAAGUGCAGUUUUCCCCAAUCCCCCAAUUCCAACUAUGGAAAUGGUUGACACAUUCUUAGUUGAGAUAGGAUCCAACAAAAGUUGGAUAAUAGCCUUAGUAUCUUCAUCCCUCCCUACAAUAUUUUCCUCAGGGACAAAUGAGUGAGUGACCCUCUCUCUCUUUAUAAAUCGUGUAUCUUCAUGGUUGUCUUUUAAGUCACUGGGUCUACGAGAUGCAACCUCACUAAUCCUCUUGUUAAUGUUUUUUAUCUUGUGACCCAUCUUUAGCCCAAACACAAGUUGAUUUGAGUUAGAAAAGAAAAGGUGCACCUAUAAGAAUUUGAGUAGACAUAAUCAUUAUUUUGAUAGAAGGAUAUUAAUUAAGUUAAUAGAGUUUUGUAAUAGUAGGUUAUAUGAAACAUUCAAAAUAAUAAUGUAGAAGACUUCCUGCAAUUAAUUAUGAGUUAUUUAGAGAUCUAUUGUAUUCCUAAUAGGUGGAUAUCAAUAGGCUUAUGUGACUAUGAAAAGGUUAUACGUGAUUUAACCGCACAAAGCCUCUAAUAUCUUUUUAGUCAAAUGACUUUGGAUGUGAUUCCUAGUCACCAAUAGUGUUUGACAGAAACCUUGUUAGCUUUUUUUUUUCUUUCUUUUUUUAAUCAAAAUCAUUGACUUUGUACAUCUCAUUAUAUUGAUAUUAAUGUAUUUCCAUGUCAACUAUCUAUUUUUGAAAUUCCUUAAUUUAUGGACUUCAAACUUUAUAAUAAACUAUUCCCUUAAAAGAGUAUAAAAGAAACAAUAAAUAGUAAAAUUUGAAACCAACAAAACAUUAAUCUACUAAUAAUCAAGCGAGUACCUUCUAAACACAUAAAAAAAAUGUUUACAUAUAAUUGGAUUCUCAUAGACACGAAUCCAAAACAAGAAUUGCAAAAUCAUACAUAUAUACAUAUAUAUAUAUAUAUAUGGGUACAUUUUGCAUAGAAAUGUAUCCAUGAGACUAAAAAAUGCAUUCAACUCAUAUAUCAUAUAUGGGUACAUUCUAAACUCAUAAAAAACAAUAAAUGCUGCUAAAUCCACCCCAUUAUCUUAUUUUUCUACUCACUUUUUAGUGGAAGUGUUAAUUACAUAUUUAUUCUUUUAUAAAAAGACUUUUAGAGCAUCUACAAAAGAUAUGUCAAAUAUAGUAUGUUAAAAUUUUAUUUGAUGGCUGAUGUGGCAAAUUGAAUACAAGUGUUAAAUCUUCUUAUUUUACAAUGGAUGUGUCAAAUAUUUAUUUUAUUAUUUUAUUGUGCCUAGAAUUACAUUAACUACUAAAAAAUAAUCAAAAUUAGUUUUAAUUUGUAUUAUAUUGGUUGUUAAUGAGAUUCAUGCAUUAAAAAAAAUAUUAAAUAUAUUUGACUCCUUCUUUAUUUGCUGUUAAAAAAGGCAGCUAGAAAGCAAAAAGUCAAAUGACUCACAUGUCAUAUCAUAUAUGAUAUAUCUAUUGAAGAACACUUGAAUAUCUUUUAAUCCUAUUUGACAUAUUUAACAUUUCUUUUGAAGAUGGUCUUAGACCCUUAUUUAUAAAUUCAUUAUAAUUUUUUUUUUUAAGAAAAGAGAACAAAAGGCCAAACAACCAAAGCCCACCAUACAUCCCGACUUACACAACCCCUCUCCUUACCGCCGCCGCCAAAACCCCCCAUUUUCCAGGCGCUAUCUCUCACCUGCACCAGUAUACCAUAUCCAGAUCUAAGAAACCUCCCAAGGCGCCAAACCCACUCACACCCAUCAAACAAAGAUAUCAAUUCCUCUCAACUACAGAUCUAGGAAAGCAGUAUACAUGAACUUGGAUGGAGAAGUGUGAGAGAGUAGGUCUUUCUCUCAACACAGACUCAUAGUCUCUCUCUUUCUCUCUCAAGUAAACCUUUCACAAUAGGUAGAUUAUGGAUAUGGGUGGAGAGGUGAAGAGAGAGAAAUGGAGGUUUUACCGUCCGGACGGGAUACGUCAAGAGAUUGGGUGGAUCGGUGGUAAAGGAAAAGUGGAGAAAAAGAGUGGCUUUUUUUUUUCUUUGAAGUUUUCAUUUGAAGAGCGAGACAAUGUUUCUUUCUUUGUUGGAUAUUUCCCAGACGUUAUUUUAGAAAUAAAGUGAGUGAAAAAAUAAUAUUUUAAUUUUUUACGCUUUUUAAGAUAGAUGAGAUUAUAAUAUGAGUAAAAAAAUAUGACAAUAAAGAGAGUCUAGCAGCAUUCAAAACAAUUGCAAUUGUACCUAUUACAUAUAUACGGAAGGUAUAAUUGUAGUGUUUUUAUUUUUGGACAAAGGAAGGUAUAAUUGUAGUUACUUGUCAAAAGAAAGUACCCAUACAAUUGCCAUAUAUAAUUAUGGUACAAUUCCUGCAUCCUCCCAAAAGUAAAUUGUUUUCAUGUGUGCACCCCAAAGUUUUUUUUUUAUAAAAAAAUGUACCCGUAUAAUUAGACACAAAUUUCAAAAGAAUGUACCCAUUUAGAUUUAUAAAAAAAAAAAAGAAAAAAAAAGGAGGGCAUCCAUAAGCGUUCUAGCAAAUAAAAUGGACCCAUGAUUAUUAAUAAAGAUUGAUAAAUUCAGUCAAACGAAAAAUGAGAUGAAACUAUUGGAACGUAUAAAAAUUCAUAUUUUAGUUUCAAAUUAAAGGGAUGUUAGGGAUAUCUAGCUGCAAUAAAAUCCCUUAAAUGAUGUAAAUGAUCAAUUAUCCUAAACAGAAAUGAUAUAAAAGGAAAUGUUUAAAUAAAAAGAAAAGGAAAAUCUGACAUGGAAUUUAAUUAAUUUUAAAAAUUUGAUAUGGACAUAAGUCAAAGGCCUUCAAACAAAAAUUUAAAACUAAAAAUGUUUCAUCAAUAAACAUUAGUGACUUGGGAUCAGACUUAAUUAUCCCCAUUUUUUAUUUUAUGACGCAUCUUUAACCCAGUAACAAGUUCAUUUGAGCUAGAAAAAAAGGGCGUAAAUGUAAGAAUUUGGGUAGACACCAUCAUUAGGUCAAUAGAAUUGUAUUAAUUAAGUUAAUAGAAUUUUGUAAUGCUAAGUUAUAUGAAACAUUCAAAACAAUAAUGUUGGGGAUUUAUUACAAUUAAUUAUGAGUUAUUAAGAAACCUAUUGUAUUCCUGAUAAGUGGAUAUCAAUAGGCUUAUGUGACUACAGAAAGGCUCUACGAGAUGCAUCCUCACCAAGCUUCUUGUUAGUAUCUUUUAUCUUAUGAUCCAUCUUUAGUCCAAAAGCAAGUUGAUUUGAGUAAGUUAGAGAAGAAGAGGCGUACCUUUUUUGACACCUUUGUAUUUUCUGGCACCAUUUGUCUUUGUUGAGCUUUAGUAUUAAACUCAUCCAGCACAUCAUCGGCUUCAUAGACUGCAUCUUCUACGCUUUGGAGCCACAAUUUGACUUCAUUGUUGGCUUGCUUUUGCUCAGCGUCAAGAAGAACAGCUUGGAAUGCUACAACUGUCUCCUUAAGCUUCUGGAACUCAUCUUGGACACCCCAGAUCAAUCCAAUCUCUUGGAAAGCAAGGGAGCCUAGCCUUCCGAUGAUCCCUUCUGCAAUGUUGAAGAGAACUCCUUCCGCCAUUUCUUGUAUUCAGGACAAGCAAAAACACAAGUGAAGUGAAUUAAGGUAGAAACCUAUAACUGAGAAUAUGGUUUUGCGUAGUACUAGAUAGCUCGUCCCUGCUCGUCUUUAUAUGCCCACUCAUCCAACCACUCAUACGUUAUUCCAUGAAUAAAUUAAAAACAAAGACUUGUCACCAAUUCACUAAUGCCAACCUGGUCCUUAACGUUUAGUUGCAUUUUUAAACCCAUCUGCAAUUUUAUCAGUUGGUGAAACACAAUUAUAAAUGGACCAAAACUAAAUAUACGCCACCAAUAUAUAUUGAAUUAAUUGCACUCUUGUCCGACUACCCAUACACCAUUCCAUACAUAAAAUAAAAACAAAGCCUUGUAGCAAUAUCACUAACGCCAGCUUGCUUCUUAACUUUAUGUUGUAUUUUUAAAAUCCACUUGUAAUUUUAUGGUUUUGCGUCGUGAAAGAUGCCCCUCCUGAUGGUCUUUAAUCUCUGUAUGCCCUUCUCUCAUCCAGCCAUUCACACAUUUUGACCGAUGGUUUGGUUCCACUGGUUAAUAUAUUAAAGGAAACUUUAACAAAAAGUUUUCGAUACUAUUUAUUUUAACAAAAAAUCAUAUUUUUACUAUAAAAAGUCAAUCCUGGUACUAUGUAUUUUACCCUUUAUUUUGUUCUUAUCAUUAAAACUUAAAAUUUUCAAAUAAUUUUUAUUAGUUUUCCUUAUAUUAAAUCCAUUUGCAAUUUUGUUGGUAACUCUUGUACUAAUUUAUUUAUGGAAAAAUUAGGUUCUCAUCCUUCAUUUUGCUACUUCAUUGAUUAAAAUCAUAUUCCUUUUCAAAUUUUUAUCAAGGUCCUUUGGUAUUAAUAACAUCAUUAAUUAUUUUAAUAAUAAAAUAUUUUUUUAUUUCUAAAUAUAUUCAUUUAAUUUUAAAAAUGUUACAAUUAGUAUAUUUAUAUUUAUGACUUAAUUUUUUAUCAUAUAUUUUUAGUUUUAGUUUGUACCCAUUUUUAAUUUGUAAUUCUUUUUUAAUUUGUAUCAAUUUUCUUUUCAAUUUUAAUUUGUACCAAUAUAUAUAUAUAUAUUUUUUUUGUGCCCAUAUUUUUUAAAGUUUAUUUGUAUUUGUACCCAUAUAUUUUUUUAUUUGUACUUUUUAUUUUGCUAAAUGUACACAUGCUAAUUAUAUGUACCCAUUCAUGUAAAACUUUUUAAUCUUAAAAUGUACUUAUUCUUAAAUAUACCAAUUUGUUAUAUUUAAAAUGUACCCUUUUUUUUUUAUAUAAAAUCUAUUCAAUUUUUUUCUAAUCCAUUUUUAAACUUAUAUGGGUACAUUCUUUUUUUCUUUGAUUUUAAAUGUAUCCAUGUCAAGUUUAAUCGAAGAAGUUUACUAAUGUUAUUAAGCUAUUAUCUUCUUCUUCUUUUUUGUGAUUUUGAAGAAUGUACCCAUGUUUUGAUACAAUAAUUUUUUUGGUUAAAUUUGAUGAAUGUACCCAUGUUUAUAUAUACACACACACAAUAGUAUAUUUAUAUUUUAAUAUUUUUAAUCCCACAAAUUAUGGUUUUUUAUUUAAAAUCUCAUUUAUAUAAACAACUAAAAUUUCUAAUUUUUAAUUUAAAAAAUAUAGUAACGUACAUAGAAAUAAAUUAUCACAUUAAUUUCAGGGACUUCGAUCAAAAAUUAAAAAUCAACAAGAUUUCAAUAAAAGAAUAUUCAUAGCUAAGGACCGCAUCCAAAGUCUCCCUUUAUUUAUUCAUCCAUCCUCACAAAUUAAUAAAUUAUAGCCGUUGGUUCGGUUCCCCUCCUUUUAUUUCCCUCUACUUUUGUGUUCCCACGCCAUCACGUGGCCACCCCUUAAAUCCGGCUCUCCCCACAGGAUUUAGAGAGAUUUUUCAAUGUGACCGGUAUAUGGGAUGAUACAUCACGUGUCACUAUAUAAAUAGUGGGAUAUGUGUGCUAAAAAGUUAAUAACUUAUAAAAUAAAAUUUCGCACCACUUCUAUUGAAAUACAUGUUAUACCACUUGUAUUCCUAUCAUAAUUAAAAAUUUCUAUAAUAUUUGGAUCCAAAUUCCUCCCCACAUGUUCUCUCCCACACACCCGGCCCACACUCUACCAUAUUAAUAUACCCGCCAUUUGCUCAUUUGUACACCCAGCUAUGCACGUUUCACACUCGGCACUUCCAAACACUCACACAUGAUUUCAUGUAUAAAAUAAAAACAAAGACGUGUCAAUAUGCUAUUGCAUGAGAGAUUUUUCAAUGUGACUAUCACAUGAGGUGGUACAUCAUGUGUUCCUAUAUAAAUGAUGGAAUAUGUAUGUUAAAAGAUUAAUAACUUAAAAAUUAAAUUUUUUUACCAUUUACAUAAAAACACAUGAUAUACCAUCUGUGUUCCCAUCACAACUAAAAAUUUCUCUUAUUUGCUAGUCUUAAUAAUUCAAAUUUGAUUUUUAAUACCAGCUGGUCCUUCACACUUCUUAACUUUUCGGCAGGCUGCUGCACGUUCCUUAUUUUUGGGCAAACCGCUGCACGUUUUUUUUUUUAAUUUUUGGGCAGACCGCUGCACGUUUUUUUUAAAAAAAAAUUUGGGCAGGCCGCUGCACGUUGUUUUUUUAUUUUUGGCAGACCUCUGCACGUUUCUACUAUUUUGUCAAGUAUCUUUAUCUUAUAAGAUGUAAGAUGGAAGAUUGAGAUUGUUUUGAUAGAAGUAUGAAGAUUGCCAAAACUAUGUAAAGUUAGGACACUAGUAGCACGUUUAUUAAUCCGUAAUCAGAUUGAGAGGAAUUGAAUUGAAAAUGAAUUGGAUUGAUGAGAAAUUAUAAUGAGGUGUAAUCAGAAUUAGAUUCUUGUUGAAGUUGUUUACCAAAACUGUCUGAAAUCGGAGUAGGAAUGACAUUGAUGCAUAUAAAUUAUUUACUAAUUCACAUGAAUCAGAAUGAUAACUAAUGUGAUUCCUAAAGUACCCCUACUUAAACUAAUUUAUUGUAUAUGCUAAUUAUUUUUAGUAAAACUUUUAUUCUUUUAUUUUUUUUUUAAUUUUUUACUAGAGAGAAUAAUUUUUUAUCUUUUAUAAAACUUUUAAAUUUUCCUAAUCGCAUAGAUUACUUCCAAAUUUGAUAUGAAAGAAUAGUUUUUUAUUUGCUUCUAACUCUUAAUCACCCUAAACCCUAUUAGAAAUAGGGAACUUUAAUGAAAAGUGUAGACAUCGAAAUUUCGGUAAAUAAAUGUUGACCGAUAAAUCAAAGUGUCAACGCUCAUGUAUUGCAUAAAUUUUACACGUAGCAUGUGACUCAACGAAAAUUGAAAUGAGUUUGAAAAGUCAUCAAAUAAGACACGUGUCAACACCUGGCAGAAACGACUUAUUUCAUCUGGGAUAUUAUAUUCAAAAUUAGGUCUUGGAAAAUUCUAUAAAUACAAGCCCAUUUCAUUCAUUUGGGGGGACCAAUUCAUUAGGCAAAACUCUUGAAGCUCUGAAGCUCUGAAACUCCGAAGCUCUCAAGUAUCCAGGUUCCCGAAGAAUCAAGAAAGCGUUAUUCGUUCAUCGUUCAUCCUAAGAUCAAGCCCCAACGGCCCUUUGGAUCAACAAUCAUCCACCAAUUCAAGAUCAAGCCCCGACGGCCCUUGAAGAAAGUGUUCUUCGUUCAUUGUUCUUCCAAGAUCAAGCCCCGACGGCCCUUGGAUCAACCAUCCACCAAUUCAAGAUCAAGCCCCGACGGCCCUUGAAGAAAGCACCAUCGUUCAUCAUCCGUUCAUCCAAGAUCAAGCCCCAACGGCCCUUUGGAUCAACAACGUCGACAAAUCCACACAUCCAACCGUUCUUCAAGAUCAAGCCCAAAAGCCCUUGAAGAUCCGUUCAUCACUGUUCUUCAAGAUCAAGCUCAAAAGCCCUUGGAGAUCCGUUCAUCACUGUUCUUCAAAGAUCAAGCCCAAAAGCCCCUUUGAAGAUCCGCUCAAAUCCACAUUCAAGAUCAAGUUCACGGCCCUUGAAGAACGUUCAUCCUUAGAUCAAGCCCAACGGCCCUUUGGAUCAAUCACACAUCCACAAAUACACACCUUACGGAGAUCGAAUCAGAGGAUCAAAUUUGAGAGAGAUUGUAACCCAAAAACAUCAUCAAAUACAUAAUAUUUGUUUGUGCACGUUCGUUCUUGUCUCUUUCGUUUCAGGAAUUUUCCUUGUUCACAAAUUGGCACGCCCGGUGGGAUAAUCUCUGCCUCUCAUCUCUUUCUCCGUUCAAGAAAUUCAAGCGCACUUCUAAAAUUAAUGGCAUCAAGGAAGGCUCAUAACUGUUCCCGCAACCGGCACAAAGAACAAAAACGUCCUCGUCGCAACUGGUGUCACUUUGGGCAUCACGACUCGAAGCAUGGCAAGAGCUACUUCUGCCGCCUCUUUCACCUCCGCAUCAACUCUGCCAAGGGAACAAAAGCACCCAAGACACGAGCCUUUGAUCACCUUAGCCUCACUAAGGGCACCAAGGGGGGAAAGCCCAAGGAAAUACUCCAAAUCCAUGCUCUCCGAUGCCGAUUCAAGCGACAGUUCAGCCAUGCAAGUCAUGACCAUUGGAGCAACUUCAAUCGAUGAGCAGCUGGCUCAAAUGAAUGAAGCAAUCGCAAGGCUAACCCGAACUGUGGAAGAAAAAGACUUGCAAAUUGCAGCACUAGUCAACCGAUUGGAGGCGCAAGACGGCGAUAAACCCGACCCAGAGGAUGAUCCACUAAAGGGAGGAGCUGGCGGAGACGAAGAACCCCCGGUGAAGAAAAUCGAUGGGAAGCCGGAGCCAGACCAAGCAGCGGCACUCAUGGGAUCUCUUUCUAUCCAGCAGCUGCAGGAGAUGAUCACCAACACCAUCAAGGCACAGUACGAAGGGAGCUCACAUACCUCAUUGUUCUACUCGAAGCCCUAUUCCAAGAAGAUUGAUGCCCUAAAGAUGCUAAGGGGUUAUCAACCACCAAAGUUCAUGCAGUUUGAUGGAAAAGGAAACCCAAAGCAGCAUGUUGCACAUUUCGUCGAAACUUGCAACAACGCAGGGACGGAGGGAGACUACCUCGCCAAGCAGUUUGUGCGCUCGUUGAAAGGAAAUGCCUUUGAGUGGUACACGGACCUAGAGCCUGAGUCCAUCAACAGCUGGGAGCAAUUAGAACGGGAAUUCCUCAACCGCUUCUCUACAGCACCCGCCGCACUGUGAGCAUGCUAGAGCUAACGAGCACAAAGCAGUGGAAGGACGAGCCAGUCAUUGACUACAUCAACAGAUGGCGCACUCUAAGCCUCGACUGUAAAGACAGGCUCUCGGAAACCUCUUCAAUCGAGAUGUGCAUCCAAGGCAUGCAAUGGGGUUUGCAAUACAUCCUUCAAGGCAUUAAACCGCGGACCUUCGAGGAAUUGGCCACUCGCGCCCAUGACAUGGAGUUGAGCAUCGCCCAUCAUGGGAAGAAAGAACCGAUCGCCGACUACAAGAACGACAAAGCUCUUGGGAUAAAGGUGGAAAAGGCUGCAUGGAAACCCACCAAGGAAGUGAUGACAGUCAACACAUCUCCCGUCAAAAUAUCCACACGAGGCAAGGCAAUUCAAGUCGAAGGCUUUCGUGAUCAAGAGAUGCGUAGACGCACUUUGAAGGAGCUCGAGGAGAAAACUUAUCCAUUCCCCGACUCUGAUGCGGUUGCCAUGUUAGAAGACUUGCUAGAAAAGAAGGUGAUCAGCUUGCCUGAGUGCAGAUGGCCAGAAGAAAUGAAUUGCACCGACAGUCCAAGGUACUGUAAAUUCCACCGCUUCAUCAGUCAUCCGACAGAAAAGUGUUUCGUGCUGAAAGAUCUCAUCAUGAAGCUAGCUCAGAAAGGAAUCAUCGAGCUAGAUCUUGACGAUGUGGGGGAGUCAAACUGUACCACCUUCACUUCUGACUCUUCCGACUCAAAGUUUUCACCUCAACCACUGGGGGCAUCCUCCAAGACAAGCAAAGUAGAAGGAUGGACUCAAGUCACUCCUAAGAAAUUGCACAAGAAGCAUACGUCUCCUCCACAUGUCCGCCAAUCGGAAAGGGGGCAAAGCAGCUCUCGUCAACCUUCAAAGCAACAUGAACGUGUUGAAGAUGAUGAAAUUUCGACACAUAGAUCGUCCAUCCCCAUCACGAUGCGUGAUUUCUUUCCUGAAGACUUCUUCAAUCACUCGGUCAAGGCUCCUUGCUAUGAAGAUUGUGAGGAACGCCUCUCCAAAAUUACUUGACAAAUUCACCAUGCUCCUUGUUCGCACGAGCCUAAACUGCACGAAUCAAAGCUCAUUGUCCACACGAGCCUAAACUGUAGGACACAAAGCUCCUUGUCCGCACGAGCCUAAACUCGUGCCUCGUGCCUGCUUGCCAUGUGUUCGAGUCAACCUUCAAGAAUCAAGCCUCAACGGCCCUUGAAGAAGCUUUCAGCCAAAUUCGAAAUCAAGCCUCGACGGCCCUUGAAGAAAUUCCAAACAAAAGUUCAAGAACAAGCCUCAACGGCCCUUGAAGAAAUCUCAAGCCCAAUUCAAGAUCAAGCCUCGACGGCCCUUGAAGAAAUUUCAAACAAAAGUUCAAGAACAAGCCUCAACGGCCCUUGAAGAAAUCUCAAGCCCAAUUCAAGAUCAAGCCUCAACGGCCCUUGAAGAAAUCUCCAGCCCAAUUCAAGAUCAAGCCUCGACGGCCCUUGGAUCGACAUCUACAGUAAGGGACUUCAAAACGCAUCUCCUACACGUGACAAUCACAUGUAUACGACGUGCUUUGAAGUGGGGGCAUUUGUAGACAUCGAAAUUUCGGUAAAUAAAUGUUGACCGAUAAAUCAAAGUGUCAACGCUCAUGUAUUGCAUAAAUUUUACACGUAGCAUGUGACUCAACGAAAAUUGAAAUGAGUUGGAAAAGUCAUCAAAUAAGACACGUGUCAACACCUGGCAGAAACGACUUAUUUCAUCUGGGAUAUUAUAUUCAAAAUUAGGUCUUGGAAAAUUCUAUAAAUACAAGCCCAUUUCAUUCAUUUGGGGGGACCAAUUCAUUAGGCAAAACUCUUGAAGCUCUGAAGCUCUGAAACUCCGAAGCUCUCAAGCAUCCAGGUUCCCGAAGAAUCAAGAAAGCGUUCUUCGUUCAUCGUUCAUCCUAAGAUCAAGCCCCAACGGCCCUUUGGAUCAACAAUCAUCCACCAAUUCAAGAUCAAGCCCCGACGGCCCUUGAAGAAAGUGUUCUUCGUUCAUUGUUCUUCCAAGAUCAAGCCCCGACGGCCCUUGGAUCAACCAUCCACCAAUUCAAGAUCAAGCCCCGACGGCCCUUGAAGAAAGCACCAUCGUUCAUCAUCCGUUCAUCCAAGAUCAAGCCUCAACGGCCCUUUGGAUCAACAACGUCGACAAAUCCACACAUCCAACCGUUCUUCAAGAUCAAGCCCAAAAGCCCUUGAAGAUCCGUUCAUCACUGUUCUUCAAGAUCAAGCCCAAAAGCCCUUGGAGAUCCGUUCAUCACUGUUCUUCAAAGAUCAAGCCCAAAAGCCCCUUUGAAGAUCCGCUCAAAUCCACAUUCAAGAUCAAGUCCACGGCCCUUGAAGAACGUUCAUCCUUAGAUCAAGCCCAACGGCCCUUUGGAUCAAUCACACAUCCACAAAUACACACCUUACGGAGAUCGAAUUAGAGGAUCAAAUUUGAGAGAGAUUGUAACCCAAAAACAUCAUCAAAUACAUAAUAUUUGUUUGUGCACGUUGUUCUUGUCUCUUUCGUUUCAGAAAUUUUCCUUGUUCACUGGUGAGGCUUAUGUUACUGCUAUGAUUGGUGAGGCUUAUGUUACUGUUGAUGGGUUCGGUUAACUGGGUUUUCAUUCCGUUUCAGAUUUGUUUCGACACACACUUACAGAAAUUUGCAGGAUGCUGUGGUGAUAUUUUCUAUGAUUUAAUCAAAUGAACUAUUUGAUGUCAGUAGUUUGAGGGCUCUGACCGCAACACACAGUAGCAGCAGCGAUGAGGGAGGAGAAGCGGCACCAAUUGAUGCAGAACCUAUUCGGUGAUCAAUCUGAAGAGGAAGAGGAAGAGGUCGACUCUGAGCAUGAGUCCAAUCCCCAGCCCGAUUCUGUAUGAUCCUCUAAUUUCAAGUUUCCUUUCUAUUCUGAUUCCAAAAGCAUGUUUGGGAAUGAUUAGGGUUUCAAUUUCUACUUUAAUCUUAGCUGAAGGAAGAUAUAGGUUGUCUUUUUUGUUAAUGGCGGUGGAUGAUUUGGAUGAAAGUAUGAAUCUUGGUAAUUUUUUUGCUUGCAGUUGUUUGGGCCUGGACUGAGGAAGUUUUGUGGAAUGAGAUUCUUAUGAUUAGUCAAUUUUAGUGGGAUUGUUGUUUCAAUCUGGAUAAUGAAUGAUGUCGUUUUCCUAUUCGGUCUGUCCUUUGACAGUGUAGCAGAUCUGGAAUUUUGUGAAAUGCUCUUUAUUGAGAAUGAAGUGCCACUAAUUCAAGACGAAUAAAAAAAAUUUGCACAUUUUCUGAUUAGAAAUAUAGAAUUGGUUUUAAAUUAUUUUCUUGACUGUUUGGUUCUGAUGUGCUUUACCGAUAAAUCAUGGGUUUGCAAGAUAUUUUUUGUUGUUUUCUCUUGCCGUUGACUGGGGAUGUGGGUGAUCCUGUUACCCUGUACACCGCAGUACAGGGCGGUAACAAGAUUAUCUAUUGUGCUACUGCACUCUCUAUAAUCAGCGGAGACCUCUAUAGGGCUGAUCAAGGAGGGGUCUACAAUCUUACCAAAGCAUUUCAGGUGUGGUCGUUAUUGCCAUAUCCUUGAAAUGCUCCUUUUUGACAUUUAGUAAUCUGUUUCGGUUUUGAUGUCCUUUAAAUGAUUGGGUUGGUUCAAUGUUGGAUUUGAAUUUUACCCUUCGAGAGUUGCUUAUGUGAAGCUUUUGACUGUUUGCAUUGCAGGACUAUAACAACAAAAUGGCGCAAUUACGAGCAGGAAAGAGUAGCAAGAGCAAACUUACAAUUGUAAAGUUCAAGACUCUGGAGUCAGUGGAUGGAUGGGAAGUUCGUCAGGGGACUUACUUUGGGUCGGACCCUCGACCGGUAAAUGCCUGUGUGCAAAGGAUUGUCAUGGCAGCGAGAUCAUGUCGCUCUGGGAAGCUCUUUUGACGGCCGCCGUUGUUGGAGGUCAGUCUCUUCCUCUGCUUCCACUCCACUCCAUUCAUUUUAAUUUUAAUUUUUUGUUUAUAGAGAGAGGACUUAGAAAAACAAAAAAUAUAUUUAUUUUUGUAAUGGUUGUCAUGAAUUUCCUUUUGACUAAACAAAACAUAAUCAGUUUAUUUGCUUUACUGAGAAUGUAGCGUUUAUUGUGAUUAAUUUCGGGUUUUGGAGCUGAUAUGAGUUCCGAGCCGUAUCCAGAGUAGAUUUUGGGGUUGCUUGGGUCUAAGAAUAUUCGGUUACUCUAGCGCAUUGACGAUUAAUAGACGUAAUUCUUUUUACCGUUGUUUGUGUAUAAGUAUGCGACUUAUAUGGUAUAACGUGACAAAGGUUGUUUCUCUUCCAAUACAUCAACAUAUAUUAAAAAGAAAUAUUUAAAGAGGGCUGGAACCCAGUCGAAGCUGGGGGGCUAGGCCCUCACGCCCAUAAUAUUUUACUUGAAAAAAAGAUAUAAAUGGGGGACAUAGUACCUAAACCCCGACGAUCAAAAGCAAAAUUGUAUACAACCACUCCAAGUAGUCGCAUCACAUGUUGAAUUCAAAAGGUUGACGCCUCAUAUAAUUGAAAAGAAGGAAAUUAAAGAGAAACUAAAAAAAAUAAAAAAUAUUGAAGUUGGUGGGUGGGAAAGCAAAAGUGCCGACAACGAAAUCUUUGAUCCACACGGUAUGUUAUCUGAAAAGAAAAAUAAAAUGCUGAUGAUGAUGAAUGAAGAAUUGAAAUUAAGAAAUGAGAUUGGCAUAUAUUUCGUAGUUUAUAUUGAAUUAGGCUAGUGUGAAUUGAAACAAGUUAGAAAACGCACCUUAAUAAUUGUGAAUGUCAAUGUGUGGGAUGUGAGCAAUCUUAGGCCAGUCCUCACCUGUUUCUUUCUUGCAUCUUUCGCUUAACAUGGGGCAUUUCUCAAUCACCAAUGUAUUUAAACAGGGGAGUCCACGAAUCCCUUCUGGCAGUGAUGCCAAAUUAGAGCAAUCCUUAAUUGUAAGCUUCUGAAGUGACGUCAGAUUGCUUAUUUCUUCUGGCAGUGAUCCCAAAUCCUCAAUUUCUUGGAGCCACAUAAAUGUUAAUUUGGAGAGAUGAGGGGAAGAAGAAGCGGCAGAAACAUCAACACCAACAUCAUGUGGAAUAUCAGAUGCUCCUCUAACAAACAAGGAUUCAACAACCUUCCAGCUGCUCCCCUUGAGAAGUAUUCUCUCCACAUUUGGAUACAGAGGCAUGGAAGUUAGAUUAGGACAAUUCCGGAUGGUCAAUGCAGAAAGAGAGGGAAAAGAAGGCAACGACAGUAUUUCCGUUGAUGAAGAAGAAGAAGCAGUGUUAUGAGUGUGGGCCCUCCACCAUCCCUUCAGAACAGGGCAAUCUGCUAUGUAGAGCUCCUCCAGGGAGGGAAAGAAUGAGAUCCUCAUCAUCUCAUCACUCAUACUAUUACUGCUCUCUUUCUCUGAUAGUAAUAUGUACUCCAACUUCUCCAACCCUUCAAGUUCCAGUUUCUUAAGGGAAGGCAAAUGAUCCAAGGGUGGAAGAUGUUGGCAUAUGUUACAACUCUGCAAUUCGAGAUUAACAAUAUUAAUGAGAGAAGAAAACCAACUCGCAAACCUCACACCACCAUAAUACGACACGGUCAACUGCUUUAGAUUAGAAUGGGGUUGCAAUACUUCCAUUGACUUUAUAAUAUCCUCCUCAUCAACUGCCUUUACAUCUUCUAUCUCUUUCCACCUUAAAUCCAAGGAAUGGAGAUGCUGUUUGUCCUUGAGAGGUGUACCAACAUUUGAUUCUGACACCACAUCUUUCUCGUGACUCAAAUUUUCAAUUUCCAAGUCUCCCCUUAAUUCCUUAAGGCUUCCCAGCUCAGCAAGACCAGCACUACCGCCCCUCUCCAAACAAUUGCUUUCGCUCAAAACAAAUCUAUUCAAUGUACGAACACCAUUCAAUUCACCAAUUCCACGUGGCAUUGCACUCAAAAUCUCACACUUAUCCAAGAUGAGAUGCCUUAAGUUGAUCAUUUUUUUAAUGUCUCUAGGCAAUUCCACAAGAUUCCAACACCCUGUGAGAUCUAGUGUUUCCAAAUUCGAAAGUCCAACUAUCCAAUCUGGAAGUCUCUCCAUGUGAUUCCUACUAAGAUCAAGAUAUCUCAAAUGUUUCAUUUUUCUAAGACAAUUAGGUAAUGUUGUAAUUUCUAAUUCAUUGAAACUUAACAUCCGUAAUGACUUAAAAUUUGAAACAAUUGUAGUACAAAGUGCAUUACAUGGGGAACUUAGGUAACCAUCCCAAAAAUCUUGCUGAAGAAAAAGAAAAGUUCGUAUCCUGUUUGCCUUUAGCAAGGACGUUGGCACUUCCCAUUUCGACAAAUUAAUCUCAUAAUUGAAAGAUACGUGAAGAAGCUUUUCAUGAAAGUUCUUUUGGUUCAGAUCAACUACGGCGCUUCCAACCCCUGACACAAAUAUUGCAAGUUCAUUCAUGAGAUCGUGCAUUUUACAACUUUCUAUUAUACCAAACUCAUCUUUUUCUUCUUCUUGAAAAAACAAUCUCCACAACAACUCCCUGUAAUAUUCAUACGCAACAUCCUCCAAACCCUUGUUUUCAUCGGAUGACUUAAUGAACCCUUGCGCCACCCAAAGUCUAAUCAAUCUCUGUACAGAGAUCUUAUAAUCAGGUGGGAACAAGCUACAAUAAGCAAAACAAUGCUUUAGAUGUGAUGGGAGCACAUCAUAACUUAGUUUAAGUGUUGGUAAAAUAUCAUUUUCUUUCUGACUUAUUUUUGAAAGUUUAUUUUCUUUGAAAUUCAACCAUUCUGUUUCGUUAUGCUUGGUGCGCAGCAUCCCACCUAUCGUCCUUAUAGCAAGUGGAACUCCUUGACAUUUUUUUGCAACCUCCUCCCCAACCGCCUUAAUUGUUGGAUUAUGUGGCUCUUUUCCUUCUUUAAAAGCCAUUUUCCUAAAUAAAGACCAACUUUGCUCUUCAUUCAAACCCCUUUAAGGUGUAUGAUUUAGCUGUGUCUGAUGUUGUUGCAACGGUUUCACUACGAGUGGUAAUCAGUAUUCUACUACCUUCUCCACCACCCAUUAACAAGUCCUUCAAGCUAAGCCACUUCUCUCGAUCCUCAUUCCACACGUCAUCCAACACAAGUAG
rnacentral:lncRNA from 1 species